AGCUUUCCUGGAGCCAUUGCACCAGUACAUUAACUCUAUGUAGAAACUGCCAAAAGUGUUACUGCAUCAGAAUGUAUGGCUUGUACAUCAGGUUUGCUGUUCCAGGAUCAGGAACACAAUCUCCAGUUCUGUGAUUGUGUACUAAUAAACUGUCCAGCUGGGCUUAGUUCUGGAAGCUCCCUUUGUUGCAUACAAAAUAUGCGAGCAUUCAGUUCAGAUGAAUUUCUUUCAUUCAGAAUACAGCUUUCAUGAAAAGGAGCCAACAACACCUUAACUGUCAUGCACAUUAAAGUCAGCCAAAUACACAGCCAAAAAUCAAGGAUAUAUAUGUGUGUGAGUAUACAGGGUGAAAAACUCUCAGAUAAGGAUUCCUGAACUAAAACCAGAUGUUAUUUCUCUGAAUUAAAUGGUGAAUUUAAAGAAAAUAGGAGGGAAAAUAAUUCUAUUUUUCUAUGUCAAUUCAACUAAGAUAACCAUAUAGCAGUUAAAUUAGCCCAGCAAGGUACAGCUGUGAGCAGUUAUAAAACAUUUGUCAGAAUUGCACUCAUGCUUAAGACUAACUUAACUGGAUUGUACAAUAGCCAGUAGUUACUAUACAGUAGAUUA
rnacentral:lncRNA from 1 species